AUCACUUCUUGGCCUUUUGGCUAAGAUCAAGUGUAAUAUCUGUUCAUAUUAGAAAAUCUAGCUUCACAAAGAUAGGAUGUUGAAAAUGAAAGCAGGUUUUUCAGUGCUUUUGGGGCAAUCUCAGGAUAUUUCAC
rnacentral:snRNA from 1 species